UGACUAUUAAUAAUCAAAUAUUAAUAGUUCAUGAAUGUGUAUGAUUGAAUUAAAAACAGAUGAAUCAAAGGACUGAUUUAUUUUAUUCUAUUUUUGAUCUAUGUGAUGAACACGGAGUUCUACCACCCAGAUGCUGUUUAAGGAAGGAUCCUUUGCCCCAGCACUGAGGAGUGGCUCAGGCUGUCACUAGCUUCAGGGUUUGACUCAGCUGCAGAGAGCUGCCUUGUCCAAGGACCAAUUGUGUGCAAAGUAAUGCUAGGAAGUGGCUGCCCAGCCAAGAACUACAUUGCCUGCACGUCUUGCAUAUAAAGGAGUCAUGUGACUAGUUUUUGCCAACAGAAUUUUCAUGAGCAAAAGUAAUUAAGAAGCAUGGGGAUCAUUUCCACUUUCUUUCUUCUCAGAUGCAAUGAUUAGGCAUGCCUUGGAGAUAUUGCAUAUUCCGUUCCAGACCACUACAGUGAAGCAAAUAUCACAAUGAAGAUCUUGUGGAAAUUAAUAAACAGAAACCUCAUUAAAAUGGAACUGAGAGGCCAAAAGGGGGAGCUCCCAUGCCCUACAUCAACAGCAGAACCCAACAGGAAGAAGAAAGCCUUCCUCUUCUUGUCUGUGAUUGCCGGAUGUGUGAGAAACAAUGACAGUGGAAGAGAUAUCAAUCAAACUUUCAUGGCAUUUUCCUGUGUUUUAAGAACAUCCAACUCCUUUUUGUUUUCCCUAGAACCAGGUAAAUAUUUGAUUGCUUUUAAAUUAAAAACACUACUUGUCAUUAUUUUUUCCUCUUUACACUUGGA